rnacentral:lncRNA from 1 species
AACCACCUUUACCAACAAUAUUACCAUCAUCAAAAUCAUUGGUGGCAAUUCUAAGCUCUUUGUAAGGGAACCUUUGGAGCUUUAAAGUAGUAGUAGAGUCAAAAGGGAUAGUUCUUGAGCGAUUUACAAGAGAAUACCAAAGAUGGUAAAGGAAGUAAAUAAUCGUAAAGAUAAUCACAACAGAAGCUGAGAUUGUAAGUAUCAAAAACAAGAUUCUUGUUUUAGUAAUGAAACUUGGUCUAGGAUGGUCAAAACUUGGAGGUAAGGAUCUUGAAGGCAUGAUUUGGUAGAUUCUCUAUCUGGGUUUCCCUUCUUUCGAGGGUUUGUUUACUUACUGGUUAAUUUGGUGAAAGAAAAAGAAAAUAUGUAGAUGGGAUUUUGAUUAUCCUUAGCUUUAUUUUUCUUUCUUUUUUUAAGGCUCAUUGCACUUCUGGGUUUUGUGCAAUCUGUACCCAAUGUUAUAAGUUGAUUGCUUUACAGUUGGAUGAUUGAUAAUGUUGUUUAAGACUCUUAAUAGUUAUUACAUCAUAAAAUAUAAAUAUUAUGAUUAGCAAAUGAAGAUUGGAAAAAGAAGUGGAGGGUCCCAAUGGUGCUUUUGACUAAAAGAGAGUUUUUUUUGCAGACAAAGUCCUGGGAUGAAGAAAGAAAGAAGGAUAAAGAAAUAAAGAAAAUUGGAGGGCAAUUGACAUGGAUUACUGUGAUACUGGUGCUACGCUGCUUCUGGUAAUUCUUUUCAACAGAACUCAAUGCUUCUUUUUCACACGCGCCAUGUCAGGAGCAGUUUUUUUAAUUUUCCAUAAAUAUUCAGAUACCCUUUCAAAUAAUACGAUGUUAAUCUCGUUUUAGAAAUCUCAUUUUAGAGUUCGUAAGUAUUCCUUUUUGAAUGUUCUUUCUUUUCAUAAAUCUAAUUUUG